AUCCCCAAAAGAAAGAAAGCCAAGGGGAAAAAGGGGGCCCUGGCCCCCCACUUGUCAUCAAGAAACAGGAGGCCAAAAGGUUCUUUGUUUGAGAAAAGGCCCAAAAACUUUGGCAUUGGGCAGGACAUCCAGCCAAAAGAUAUCUAACACACUUUGUCAAAUGGCCCCGCUACAUCAGGCUGCAGCGGCAAAGCCCAUCAUCUAUAAGUGGCUCAAAGUCCCUCCUGCCAGUAACCAGUACACUCAGGCCCUGGACAGGCAAACAGCUACUCAGCUGCUUAAGCUUGCCCACAAGUACAGGCCAGAGACAAAGAAAGAGAAGCAAAGGCUACUGGCCCAUACUGAGAAGAAAGCUGCUGGGAAAGGGGACAUCCCAACUAAGAGACUAAUAACUCCAUGUCAAUACAGCCACCACCUUGGUGGAGAACAAGAAGGCUCAGCUGGUGGUGAUUGCCCAUGAUGUAGACCCCACUGAGCUGGUGGUUUUUCUGCCUGCCCUGUGUGGAAAGAUGGGGGUGCCCUACUGCGCCAUCAAGGGAAAGGCCAGGCUGGGGCGCCCGGUCCACAGGAAGAUGUGCACCACUAUUGCCUUCACACAGGUUACCUCAGAAGACAAGGGUGCUCCGGCUAAGCUGGUGGAAGCUAUUAGGACCAAUUACAAUGAAAGAUACAAUGAGAUCCGUGGCUACUGGGGAGUCUACAUCCUGGGUCCUAAGUCUGUGGCUUGCAUUGCCAAGCUGGAAAAGACAAAGGCUAAAACACUCGCCACUAAACC
rnacentral:lncRNA from 1 species